rnacentral:rRNA from 1 species
CUCGCAGGCGGUUUCUUAAGUCUGAUGUGAAAGCCCCCGGCUUAACCGGGGAGGGUCAUUGGAAACUGGGGAACUUGAGUGCAGAAGAGGAGAGUGGAAUUCCACGUGUAGCGGUGAAAUGCGUAGAGAUGUGGAGGAACACCAGUGGCGAAGGCGACUCUCUGGUCUGUAACUGACGCUGAGGAGCGAAAGCGUGGGGAGCGAACA